rnacentral:rRNA from 1 species
GAUGAACGCUGGCGGCGUGCCUAAUACAUGCAAGUCGAGCGAACAGAUGAGGAGCUUGCUCCUCUGACGUUAGCGGCGGACGGGUGAGUAACACGUGGAUAACCUACCUAUAAGACUGGGAUAACUUCGGGAAACCGGAGCUAAUACCGGAUAAUAUAUUGAACCGCAUGGUUCAAUAGUGAAAGACGGUUUUGCUGUCACUUAUAGAUGGAUCCGCGCCGCAUUAGCUAGUUGGUAAGGUAACGGCUUACCAAGGCAACGAUGCGUAGCCGACCUGAGAGGGUGAUCGGCCACACUGGAACUGAGACACGGUCCAGACUCCUACGGGAGGCAGCAGUAGGGAAUCUUCCGCAACGGGCGAAAGCCUGACGGAGCAACGCCGCGUGAGUGAUGAAGGUCUUCGGAUCGUAAAACUCUGUUAUUAGGGAAGAACAAAUGUGUAAGUAACUAUGCACGUCUUGACGAUACCUAAUCAGAAAGCCACGGCUAACUACGUG